CGGGUCACCGCUCCUUCCAGCAGCCCCGGCGCAGCUCAGAGCCACAGACUGUAGAGACCCGCAACGAUCAUCGGAGGAUCUCCUGGCAAAGUGAGAGCCAUAAUGCAUGGCCAGAAGCAGCAACAGCCUUGUAAGACAGCAUGCAGUGUAACUGUGGAGAGGGCCCAUAGCGGGCUGGGGGUCAGACUAAAGAGUUGACAGAAAGAAGAAGCCAACAGGAUUCCUGUGUGUCUGUGAAAAGAAGAGAAAGAAUAUAAAAGUAGAAGAAAACAAAGAACACCUUUGCUGUGAAAAACACCAUGGAAAAACAGGAUUUAUCUGUAUUUUGGAUUUUUGGGGAUGCUUUCUCAAAGCUGCUUCCACAAAUGGACUUGAGGGGUGGUGUGAUGAUGGCCAAUGAGAUGGGAUGCACUAUGGGGUCAGAAGGGUAUAAAAAUGUUAUGUAUGACCACAAUAAAGAAAACUUGGAAGAAGUUUCUUAAGGA